rnacentral:rRNA from 1 species
AGUGAACGCUGGCGGCAGGCCUAACACAUGCAAGUCGAGCGGCAGCGCGGGGGCAACCCUGGCGGCGAGCGGCGGACGGGUGAGGAAUACAUCGGAAUCUACCCAGUCGUGGGGGAUAACGUAGGGAAACUUACGCUAAUACCGCAUACGACCUGAGGGUGAAAGCAGGGGACCGCAAGGCCUUGCGCGAUUGGAUGGGCCGAUGUCCGAUUAGCUAGUUGGUGAGGUAAAGGCUCACCAAGGCGACGAUCGGUAGCUGGUCUGAGAGGAUGACCACCCACACGGGAACUGAGACACGGCCCAGACUCCUACGGGCGGCAGCAGUGGGGAAAAUUGGACAAUUGGCGCAAGCCUGAUCCAGCCAUGCCGCGUGUGUGAAGAAGGCCCUCUGGGUUGUAAACUGCUUUUGAAUGGGAAGAAAGGCAUCUUUGCGAGGGUGAUUGACGGUACCAUUAGAAUAAGCCACGGCUAACUACGUGCCAGCAGCCGCGGUAAUAC